UCCCAUGUGGCUCAGUUGGUAGAGCAUGGCACUUGCAAUUCCAGAGUUUGUGGGUUUGAUUCUCACGGGGGAC
rnacentral:tRNA from 1 species